GCCGGGCAUGGUGGCUCAUGCCUGUAAUCCCAACUACUCAGGAGGCUGAGACACAAGAAUCGCUUGAACUCAGGAGGCGGAGCUUGCAGUGAGCUACGAUUGUGCCACUGCACUCCAGCCUGAGCAACAGAGUGAGACUCUGUCUCAA
ensembl:misc_RNA Metazoa_SRP Metazoan signal recognition particle RNA